AAUUUGGAAUUGACGAAGUCAAAAGACUCAAAACAAAUGUCAAGGCCAUAUUUUUAAUUUGAUUUGAGAGUCUAAACGGAACAAGGAAGCUUCUUCGCCGGCCCAAAGAAACGAUCUUUAACAAUAAUGUCCCUCUGCUACCACCCGAUUACAUGAGCUCAGCCAAUAACAGAGUGCCACGUCAUAUCUUGGGCUCAAAGUUCCAUUGUUAACUGUGGGCGCGUAACCCUGGUUAUUUUUGUGGUUGGAGGUGAACCUCUCACAUAUAACUCCCCUGCUCUUUCGACUUAGUGGAUUGGGCAAAUUAACAAACUGACUCACUGAGUCACUGUGUUCCUCCUAUCGUUUCAAGGAUUUCUUGUAAGAUAGCUAAGAUCCACUACGCAACUAGAUCUAGAAAAGCCAUGGGCAAUUCAAUAAGAAAAGGUGCAUCAGGAGAGAAUCUAACGAGGCCAUUAUUUGUAGGUGAACAGGCAUGAUGAGACAGAGAGACUUCCAGUUCUGGAGCAUCAGGGAGAGAACCUCGCUGAAAUCGAUAUUUUCUCAGGAGGUGACUUUCUGGAAUUGCGGGAUCUGGAUAACCCAGCAUCUUCUUCAAGUUCAAGAAAUUCAAGCGCCGGGAGCACUUCAUCAAAUGAAUGUUUUGAUUCAAUUGCUCUCUUGCAAGACCUUGAGGACCCGAUUUCAGAACAGAAUGAUGCAUGUAAAAAGCUUAAUGUCUCUGCAUCCAACAAAUCAGACUAGGUGUUUAUGGUUCCAACCACUUUAGCAGGGAGUAGAGAUCUUAACCACUAGGUUGCAUAGCAUGUCAAAGGGGAUCAAAUGGGUGAAGGUCCAUUAUCAUCAUCAUCAUCAUCAUCAUCAUCAUCAGCUCAUAAAUAGUCCACAUCAUCCAAGAGCUACACGGCAGCAGCAGGUGGAAGGAAGCGAGCGCACUUGGUGGAAUGAAAAAAGUUCUAAAGAAGUUGCCAUUUUAGAUAGUUCUCACAUAAGGCAUUUGUAAGAUAGUAAACUUGUAUCAUCUGUCAUCAUAUUUGGUAGAUUAAUUAUAUCAUAUGUUGUUGUAGAUUAACUGUUAUGUAUCAGCUCCUACAAGGUCAGGGCUUAUACAAAUGAAUGAAAUUUUUAUUCAAAGAUGAUAAAUCUAAACCAAAAUGCAUAUGAGUGGAUCCAAGUUCGGGGCAGGCUAUUUGGAUGACUUUCUUCCCCAAUUGGGUUAGCUGGUGUUGAGCAAUUUAAAUUUGGGUUCAGCUACAGAGACCGUUCAAGGUUAAAGGGCUGCAGGGAGUCCAAAAUGCCCUGCUCAGAGUGCCUCAUAUUAUUAGGUAAGAGAUGCAGAGAAUCAAAACAGAAUAAUGGAGCCGUCAGCUAUGGACUACUUUUUUCCAAAGGCCCAGCAGGCAAGCCUGGAGAAAUAACCUAAACCAAUCAAAGUAUUGUAUGCGUUAAAGUAGGA